GGAGUUUUGAAACGGGACAUGAUGGUUAUUGGCUUUAGAGAUUAUAGUGAGGCAGCUUUCAAGAUAUUUCUCAUAAAUUGCUUGUGUGCCAUCCAGCAACCUCUGUUGGGGCAUAAUCAAGUUGUUGAUUGAGCUUAUAAUUAUUGGGAGGCACAAGUCUUUUGAUGAUGAUGAUGAUGAUGAGAAAGGAAUUGAUUAAGAGUUUGACAUGUUGUUGAGGGAAGUUCUGUGUUUUGGGUCGAUUUUGAGAUAUCCAAAUCUGUCUUUCUUGAGACUCACCUUACAGGAUGUGCUAAAAGUUGUUUGGAAUGGUGUUGAGGAGUACAAGAAGGAAGUGGAUAAGAUUGGAACACUUUUGCAAUCUGAAGAUGCAGAAGAGGAACAGUUGAUGUUGAGAUUCUGUAAUGUCAAAUGUCAUGUGUAGACGUUUGUUGUAAUGAACUCUUUUGAGUUCUCAUAUUUCUUUGAGUGUUAUGCUUUGGU